rnacentral:lncRNA from 1 species
AAAUCAUCCAAAUUCUCCAAACAAUCUAAUUUUUUGGCAACUUCCACUUUCUGGCAAACGUUCAUUCUUAGAUCUUUCAUUCAUCUAGAUUACAUUUAUGUUAGAUUCUUUCUUCAUCGCUACAUCCAUCGUUCCUUCAAUGGCUUCCAGGUCGAGUGCUAGCAGUGCUAGGGUUACAAUUGCGAGCUUUCGAGAAGAGGCUUUGCUUGGGGGUUAGAAAAGAGUUGUUGGGCCAUGAGUGAAGAUCUCAUAGAUUAUGAAGCGAUGUGGGGGCUGCCAAGAUUCCUUCUGCCAUGACCUCCACCAAUCUAGCCAAACUUAGGACGGUGCUAAGGCGUUUCUUGUUGGCUCCGAGCUAAAUUCCACCGAACAGGUAGAGCCUGGUGGUUGGGGCCAACUUAUUUUGGAAGGAGGUCUCCCUCGGUGAGGACAUGCCUCUGCAUGUCUUCCAAAUGCUUUUUCAACCUCGAGUACUUAGUAAAGAUGAGUUAAAUGGGUGGUACUAUAUGAACCUUUAGGGAGCUCAUGCUCCCUUUGUGGUCGGUACUUCUUCUUCCAUUAAGAAGUGAAAGGAAUCAUGGUUAUUGAUAAGGAGGAAGUGGCAAAUGGGUGAGGGAGACAAAGCCCUAGCUUGCAACGUAUCAACCCAGUACUCUAAAGCAUGUGAAUGUCUUCAGUUAUAUAUUGUCUUCCUUUUCUAUAACUUCAACUAAUAUUGCUUCUUUUUGUAGAUUCGGGGUCUCACUUUGAACUGUAUGAGGCGGAGUGGGAUGUAUUUAGGACAUCUACAAAUGCCUUCUGAAGUACUUUGAUCAUUUAAUAGAUAAAAGUAGAUAUUUCUUGGACUUUAGAUUGAUGGCUUCAAAAGGUUAACUCUAGAGCCUUGUGUGGUUUAUUCCUUAGCGCUUUGGUAGUUUCUAACAUUUGUUUUUGCUAUUUGUACAUAAUUUUGAGAAGAAGAAAUAUCCUACCCCUGACAUGGCCUCAAUCUUAAACGCUACUUUGACAGUGGGCACUAGGGCUUUGAAGCCUUCUUCUCGGGUACCAAAUAUGUCGGGGCAAAUUAGAGCUCCUCAGUAAGGACUGUGUCGAUAAAGGUGGCGAGGAAAAGGAUGCUUGAUAUUUUUGUUUACAACCUCAACUUACCCAUUAGCUUGGGGAUGA